GGAAGGACUGUAGCUCAGAGGUAGAGCACCUGCCUUGCAUGCAGAAGGUCCCUGGUUCAACCCCUGGCAUCUCCC